rnacentral:rRNA from 1 species
AGUGAACGCUGGCGGUAGGCCUAACACAUGCCAGUCGAACGGCAGCACAGUAAGAGCUUGCUCUUACGGGUGGCGAGUGGCGGACGGGUGAGGAAUACAUCGGAAUCUACUUUUUCGUGGGGGAUAACGUAGGGAAACUUACGCUAAUACCGCAUACGACCUACGGGUGAAAGCAGGGGAUCUUCGGACCUUGCGCGAUUGAAUGAGCCGAUGUCGGAUUAGCUAGUUGGCGGGGUAAAGGCCCACCAAGGCGACGAUCCGUAGCUGGUCUGAGAGGAUGAUCAGCCACACUGGAACUGAGACACGGUCCAGACUCCUACGGGAGGAAGCAGUGGGGAAUAUUGGACAAUGGGCGAAAGCCUGAACCAGCCAUACCGCGUGGGUGAAGAAGGCCUUCGGGUUGUAAAGCCCUUUUGUUGGGAAAGAAAAGCAGCAGGUUAAUACCCCGCUGUUCUGACGGUACCCAAAGAAUAAGCACCGGCUAACUUCGUG